UUCUUUUACAUUUAAAAGCAUAGCCGUUCCUUGGUGUUGGUCGAGUUUCACCCUCAUGUGGUGGUUCGGCGUGAGGUGAACUCUAACGUUACCUUAGGAGAUACCCUCCACCCUUCUCGUACCAAGGUAAAAUAUAACAAGGUUUACCGUGCCCUUCUCAUAGGCUGGUCCUCGAAAACCCGCCCACUGCAGUAAGCUAAUCAGAUAACCCACCAAUUCAAUCAAAUUUUCGAUAGCAUGACAUGGCUAAUAUACUAUUACCAGCCUGUCAAGGCAAAGCAAAAUAGUUCAUAUAUUCCACACAAACAAAAUUUCAGCCAUGCUUGCCAUCACAUUGUCAUAAGCCAUCAAUUCAAACCAUAUGUCAAACACGAGUAUAUAACACACGUAUACAGUCUCCACUUACUCAAUUUCCAAAACCAAUAUUCAAUUUCAAAACAAGUUAUAAAUCUCAUUUCGUUCAAUCAACACUUCAAUUAUAAAACAUAAUAGUUUACAAUUUAAAUUCAUUUUUCUUUAAAACAUAAAAACGGGUAUAAACUACUUUAGAUAGUUAAGAUGAUCGUCUGAUUACUCACAUUAAUGGGAGCAUGGAGUACUCUUAUUCUUGGUCCUCGGGUACGAUAUCCUUACUCUUACUAGGGGGCUCACCACCUAUACCUAGUACAUAACAAGUAAUUUAACACAUUUGUAACAAACUAUUAUAAAACUAUUUCAAGCUCUACAUGAAUGCAUGAAAUGGAAUGAGAAGUGUCCAAAUAAUCACUUAAAGACGGUGUUCUACGUAGGUUCAAUUGUGAUCGGAAUAAAUUUGUAUUCGACCUAAUUCGAACUAUACACCAUUGAUUUAACCGAAACAUCCGAUUCAACUCCAAAUAUAUUCAUUACACUUCCAAUACUCCAAUUACACCCAAAGUACCUCAAUGAACUCGAUUUUCUCAUUGUUGUUCAAAUCGUUUACUAAAGGAACCAUACAUUUCCAUAACCGUUUUCAAUGUCUGGCACCACAAUUCACCAAAUACGAGUUAAAUAACAUGAGAUAUAACAAGAUUCAUCAUCAAUAUGUCCUUUAGUAAAUUCGGCCAAGGAGGGUUUGAUGAAGAACAUGUGGUUUUCAUGCUUGUUUUUCACACCGAAUAUCACAAAACAACUAAAAAUGCGUAUAUAGCAUGAAAUCUAACAAAACCCAUGAUCAAAACCUCUCCCCCUAGGUUUGGCCAGCAAACUUUCCUUCAUGAAAUCUUGAGUUUCAACCAUAGAAAAUGAAAAAGAAAACGUGGGAAAGGUAGAUCUUAAGCUAAAAUUAAAAAAUCUUACCUUUACUUGCUUGAUUCCUUGAAAUCCAAUAAUUUCUCUUGAAUUUUUCCUUCCUAGGGUUUGUUCUUCUCUUUUUCUCUUUGUUCCCUUGCUUGGCCG
rnacentral:lncRNA from 1 species